AGUAGGGUGGCUGAAUAUUAGGCUGUGGAUUGUAAAUCUAUAUAUGGGUUUUAUUAAACUCUUCUACUA
rnacentral:tRNA from 1 species